UGCCAGCCGCCGCGGUAAUACAGAGGGUGCAAGCGUUGUUCGGAAUCAUUGGGCGUAAAGCGCGCGUAGGCGGUUACGUAAGUCUGAUGUGAAAGCCCGGGGCUUAACCUCGGAAGUGCAUCGGAAACUGCGUGACUUGAGUCUCGGAGAGGGUGGUGGAAUUCCUGGUGUAGAGGUGAAAUUCGUAGAUAUCAGGAGGAACAUCGGUGGCGAAGGCGACCACCUGGACGAUGACUGACGCUGAGGUGCGAAAGCGUGGGUAGCAAACAGGAUUAGAUA
rnacentral:rRNA from 1 species